rnacentral:rRNA from 1 species
GACGAACGCUGGCGGCGUGCUUAACACAUGCAAGUCGAGCGGAAAGGCCCUGCUUGCAGGGUACUCGAGUGGCGAACGGGUGAGUAACACGUGGGUGAUCUGCCCUGCACUUCGGGAUAAGCCUGGGAAACUGGGUCUAAUACCGGAUAGGAGCCAUUUUUAGUGUGAUGGUUGGAAAGUUUUUUCGGUGUAGGAUGAGCUCGCGGCCUAUCAGCUUGUUGGUGGGGUAAUGGCCUACCAAGGCGGCGACGGGUAGCCGGCCUGAGAGGGUGGACGGCCACAUUGGGACUGAGAUACGGCCCAGACUCCUACGGGAGGCAGCAGUGGGGAAUAUUGCACAAUGGGCGCAAGCCUGAUGCAGCGACGCCGCGUGGGGGAUGACGGCCUUCGGGUUGUAAACGCCUUUCGCUAGGGACGAAGCUUUUUGUGACGGUACCUAGAUAAGAAGCACCGGCUAACUACGUG